rnacentral:tRNA from 1 species
GAGAGGGAAGCACGGCGGUUAUGCGAUUGGCUUGAAACCAGUAGUAGGUGGUUCGACUCCCCCCCCUCUUG